UCCCGCCAUCGUCGCCUGGUGCGUGAUUUGCCUCUGCAACUUGACUCUCCUCUAGGAAGAGUACUCCAGAGAGCAGGGAUAUGGCACCAGGACUCCUGACAACCAGGAAGGAGGCAUUGAUGGCCUUCUGGGAUGUGGCUGUGGCCUUCACCCAGAAGGAGUGGAAGCUAUUGAGUUCUGCUCAGAGGACCCUGUACAGGGAGGUGAUGCUGGAGAACUACAGCCAUCUGGUCUCCCUGGGUAAGGCUGGCCUGUUUAAGGUUUCAGAUUCUGCUUGUGGGUAUUUUAAGCUCUUACAUAGCAAGCUGCCAUGCUUCUGACUCAGAAAAACAGUUUUUUCCCCUAUUCCCCCAGAGAAUGCCUGGCUUUCAUAGUGCAGUUUUGUGUGUGUGUGU
rnacentral:sRNA from 1 species